rnacentral:lncRNA from 1 species
UAACUAGAAAAUAUCAUCUGAUUCAAUGAGUGCCUUUCCCCAUUUCUAUUUCUCACCUACCUGUAGAUUAAAUUUAGAAGAGAUGGCUGAGAAGGGGGAGCAGAGAGAGGAAGGCUGAAGAUGAGGUGGGGGCUGAUUACUGAGCACUGACCGGGUAUCGGAAACCUUGCCAGUCAUCUAUGGACAUCACUGCUUCAGCUCUUGGGAUUCUUUGGGAGUAGAUGGUAUUUUUAAAAGCAUCUAGCCUGGAGACAUAAUCGAAUCCAAUGGUUCCCAGCCUAACAAUUGAAAUCAUGUGGCAAGGAGAGUGUUUGCUAUCUCACCAGUUGUACACAUCCACUACAAGCCUACUAUGUGCUGCGAAUGGAGACAUCUCCUAUAUUUCAUGGAUCAACAGAAGAAUUACCCACAACAUAAAUCCGGAACUUCUGGGUUCUGACCAGAAUUCCGUGGGAUGUGCUCAACGUUGAACUUGAUCUGAAAGUGUCCUUCGUCUUCUGACAAGACCCUUGAGUCAGGCCGUUGGAGAGACUCUGGUGUGAUAAACACCCACCCAGCUCUUUCUUCUUCUGUCUCAGAGGCAGCUGAGUGAUUUGUGCACAAUCACCUUGAACCUGUGGGCAGCAGGCCUUGGAGACAAGAACUAGGAACAUGUCAUUCCCCUGCUAAAAGCCCAGCUAUGCAGGGAGAGUGCUUACAAUGAGCAAGAACGGUUUUUGAGCAAAA